rnacentral:rRNA from 1 species
AUUGAACGCUGGCGGCAGGCUUAACACAUGCAAGUCGAGCGGGUGUAGCAAUACAUCAGCGGCAGACGGGUGAGUAACGCGUGGGAACGUACCUUUUGGUUCGGAACAACACCGUGAAACUUGUGCUAAUACCGGAUAAGCCCUUACGGGGAAAGAUUUAUCGCCGAAAGAUCGGCCCGCGUCUGAUUAGCUAGUUGGUAGGGUAAUGGCCUACCAAGGCGACGAUCAGUAGCUGGUCUGAGAGGAUGAUCAGCCACAUUGGGACUGAGACACGGCCCAAACUCCUACGGGGGGCAGCAGUGGGGAAUAUUGGACAAUGGGGGCAACCCUGAUCCAGCCAUGCCGCGUGAGUGAUGAAGGCCCUAGGGUUGUAAAGCUCUUUUGUGCGGGAAGAUAAUGACGGUACCGCAAGAAUAAGCCCCGGCUAACUUCGUGCCAGCCGCCGCCGUAACAC